rnacentral:rRNA from 1 species
AGUGAACGCUGGCGGUAGGCCUAACACAUGCCAGUCGAACGGCAGCACAGUAAGAGCUUGCUCUUACGGGUGGCGAGUGGCGGACGGGUGAGGAAUACAUCGGAAUCUACUUUUUCGUGGGGGAUAACGUAGGGAAACUUACGCUAAUACCGCAUACGUCCUACGGGUGAAAUCAGGGGAUCUUCGGACCUUGCGCGAUUGAAUGAGCCGAUGUCGGAUUAGCUAGUUGGCGGGGUAAAGGCCCACCAAGGCGACGAUCCGUAGCUGGUCUGAGAGGAUGAUCAGCCACACUGGAACUGAGACACGGUCCAGACUCCUACGGGAGGCAGCAGUGGGGAAUAUUGGACAAUGGGCGCAAGCCUGAUCCAGCCAUACCGCGUGGGUGAAGAAGGCCUUCGGGUUGUAAAGCCCUUUUGUUGGGAAAGAAAAGCAGCAGGUUAAUACCCCGCUGUUCUGACGGUACCCAAAGAAUAGGCACCGGCUAACUUCGUG